GAAGACCAAGACUCAGGAGAAAGAGGAGAGACUCUCAGGCUGUCCAGCAAGAAGAAUUCUUAUGCCACAAAGAUCUCGACAAACACUGGAGACUCAUCAACCGGAGUGAAUUCCCUCAGUGAAAUCGCUAUCCUCUGCCAAGAAUCAAAGGUCAUCCCAGUGGAGUGCCGUCUUCGUGUUCAGCCGCUACGGAGUGUCUGGAACAGAGUGAGAACAAAAAUUAUCCCAGUUUGGUGCCCCCUGACUCUUUCGGGAAGAAUCCCAACAAGACUGCCACCGGGAGUUCAGAGAACACAUUUGAAGACUGGGGAAGGGCCAGGCUAAACAAGGGAGAAUAGUGAUGUAAAGACAAUAAGAUAAAGGAAAUAAAUGACUCAAAGACAAGUUUUAAGCCA
rnacentral:lncRNA from 1 species